ACAGUGCGGAAUAGUCUACAUACUACUGUAAAAUAAUCUCGGCAUCCUAGCACGAGCGUAAACUCAUCCUACACUAAUCUGGAUAUCCAUCGCAUACUAACAGUGACGAUACAAAAGAACCACAGCUUCUAAAGCUAAAUUUGGUAAUUUUCAGAAAGUGACAGUGUAGAAUCUAAAUGUUUUCUGCUAAGUCAAUUCCAAGUCCAAUAUGUAAAAUUAUACUACUAGCUUAACGCCAAAUUCAGAUGUUAACUCUAAUCUAUGAAUUUGAGUACUAGGAAGAAAAUCCAAAGAUACAUGUCGAUGAUAUAAAAACUUAGGUGGUAUUCCCACGAUUUCGGUAAACUUCAACCCACCUCGAAAAGCUUGUCCAACUACGGCGAGAAGUCGAAAGGAGAGGAAAUCACGCGCUCGCCCGGCCUCCAACGACGCAACCGCGAUGCACGCACACUCGAACGACUCUCCGAAUCGACGUCGAAAAUUUUCCCGAGCUCGAGCCACGACCUCCACCAAGCAUACGAUAAAAAAUUAGAGAGAAAAAUGAGAAAAUUAUCCUCUCAGGUGGAUAGAUAUGAGGGGGAGUAGGUGGUGUGGAUAAUCAUCAACCAAAAUGACAAUACUACCCUUCACCAACUCAACAAGCCAGCUGGAGUACCGAUACUCGAUUUGGUUACUGGUACUCGGCUUCUCAGCCCGCAAGUUUCCACCUAGGGUACCGGUACCAGCCCGAUGCCGUACUGGUACUCAGCAUCAAAUUGGUACAACCGGAGAGCAUCAGUUCUGAAAAUACACUUGGGUACCGGUACUCCCAUGUAUGGUACCGGUACUUAAUACUGAAAACCUGCAUUUUGCAUAUUUCAAUGUCAAAACUCUGCUCUCGCGUUGCAUUGAGUUCGUUUUGCGUCCAUUUCGCGCCAAAACGACUCUGACUUGUCCCGACGUUCUCCAGAUGUGUCGACAAGUUUCAGAUGCUGAAAUCACAUGGGCAACCAAACACUAGGGAUACUACAAUUUCGCUUUUGGAUAUAUCUGAUCAGCUAGAAUUGGGCAACCAAACACCAGGGAUACUACAAUUUCGCUUUUGGAUAUAUCUGAUCAGCUAGAAUUAGCUCGUGAAUAUGAAUUUAUUUACGUGCACAUGAUUAAUAUACAACAAAAUACUAAGAGAAACGCCAUUAGUGCCUACAGCUCAUGUACGAAUAGGCGGUAGGCAAUAGAUGGCUAGUCCGUGAGAAUGCUAAGUGCUUUGAUCGGACUGCCUAGGUACUCAAGUAUUCACCCGUGAUGACAUGUAUUAGGAAUUCUGAUUCAUUGAAAUGUUGAUAAUGUAAUUUCUGAACUUAAUUUUUAAAUUUUUAUGGUACUGCAUUGCAUUUGUUCUCUGUUAUUUGUGAACUUCAAAUUUUCAUUUCUCUUACUGAACUGAAUUGUCGCAUUCACCCUCUUUUGUUGUCGAGAAAACUGUGAAAUUUGAAGUGAGGUGCUGCACUUUUUUGAAACUCACUGUUUGCUAAAUAAAAUUACCAGCAAUCCACUAGUAUCCAACAUUUGACAAACAGAGUUGCUAAUAUAUAUUGUAGUGUGAAGCAUAUCUUUAUUCUAGCUGCUAGAAUGAAACUCAAGGAUCUUGCUUCCAUUUAUUCCUUACUAAUAGUUGAUACCAAGGAGUUUUAUAUGGAGUUCUACAUCGUCCCCUCCAUAUCCUUCACAUGCAACAUUGCUCAUGGAUGGUAAUCUAGUAAUAUACUUCAUUCCUUUUUGUUUUAUGGAUAAGCCAUCAAUUCAUUCGUUAUAAGACGAACGCUAGCAGCUAUUGUAAACCUCAUUACGUUGCGAAAAUGCAAUUCCAGUAUGCCCGUUCUUGUACUUCUUCUGCAGUAUACAAAUAAGAAACUCCAGAUACAAGCAUUUCCAAUGUUUUUCAGGUCAGAAGACUGGAAGGUUAUCCUGUCAUUACUGGUACAAGAAAGGAUUGAAACCAAUCAAGCAUGCACUCUUAACUGAAACUGAAAAUGAAAUUGCAGGUUUUGGCUGGUAACAAAAUCCAGAUGUGCUUCAACCAGUUUGACUUUGACCUUGAUCUCCGCAUGCUGGUGGAGAAGUCGAUAUUAGGGGAUAUAUCUUUGACACUUCAAACGUGUCAGAAUUUUUAUUAUUUAAACUUGAAAUUUUAAUAUCAUGUCAUAGGUAGAUUCUUGUAAAAUCGGUUCCUUCAUUUGUAUAGCGGAUACCUGACAAUGCAAUUUUAAAUAAUCAGUGGAUAUUGUUAUGCAAACUGGACAACUGUUAACUGCAUAUUUAUAUCAAAUUACUGUA